rnacentral:lncRNA from 10 species
CUCAAGAGGCACUACAAGUGACAUGCCACUGGGCAGUUUAGCAAAAGCUGGAGGUGCCUUGACAUUUGCAGUACACUGAAACAGUGGCUGGCUUGAAAAAUCCCAAAACGAUUUUCUGCAGGAGAGCCCUUUUGACUAAUAUGAGGUACAAAGAAAAAGAAGUCUACAACAGAUGUGCUGAAGCUCAGAAAAUGGCACUACAAAGUGUGGCACUUUGACAUGCUAAGUACUUUGAACUAAAGAAGCAGCCUCAAAACGAAGAUCUUUCUGAACUUGUCUUACCACCCCGUCUCUCUACCCUGUUUCUCCCCUAAAACUCUCAGAGAGGCUUUCUGUGAACUUUCCCUUAUCUGACUAAGGGAAGUUCCUCCAGAAGCAAUGCAAUUGUUAUGAACCCCUUCCCUGGAAUCCACAUUAACCAGAGAAGAUUAUCUCAUGUAGCAAGAGAGGAGACUAAAGGUCUUUCUGUCCAGGAUACCAUAUCUACAGAGGCUUUACAUCCAUUUUUCUGAGAGUUCAUCAGACCAUGUCUGUGCAAAAACCGGGACAAUUCCAGUGUACACUAGGAAAAAGUUAUUCAGCUUAUUUCAGCUUUGCAAGAAACUUCUCAUCAAAGAAACACACAGGCUUCU